rfam:Hordeum vulgare subsp. vulgare, WGS project CAJW01000000 data, contig: morex_contig_49785
UAUGUAGUCCCUCCAUUUUAAAAUUCUUGUUUUAACUUUGUCUAAAAAUGAAUGUAUCAAAAUACUAAAACGUGACNNGAUACAUUCAUAUCUAGACAAAUCUAAGACAAAAUUUUUGAGACAGAGGGAGUAUGUA